rnacentral:rRNA from 1 species
GAUGAACGCUGGCGGCGUGCCUAAUACAUGCAAGUCGAGCGAACGGACGAGAAGCUUGCUUCUCUGAUGUUAGCGGCGGACGGGUGAGUAACACGUGGAUAACCUACCUAUAAGACUGGGAUAACUUCGGGAAACCGGAGCUAAUACCGGAUGAUAUUUUGAACCGCAUGGUUCAAAAGUGAAAGACGGUCUUGCUGUCACUUAUAGAUGGAUCCGCGCUGCAUUAGCUAGUUGGUAAGGUAAUGGCUUACCAAGGCAACGAUGCAUAGCCGACCUGAGAGGGUGAUCGGCCACACUGGAACUGAGACACGGUCCAGACUCCUACGGGAGGCAGCAGUAGGGAAUCUUCCGCAAUGGGCGAAAGCCUGACGGAGCUACGCCGCGUGAGUGAUGAAGGUCUUCGGAUCGUAAAACUCUGUUAUUAGGGAAGAACAUAUGUGUAAGUAACUGUGCACAUCUUGACGGUACCUAAUCAGAAAGCCACGGCUAACUACGUG